UUAAGUUCAGCGGGUAUUCCUACCUGAUCCGAGGUCAACGUUCAGAAAGUCGGGGGUUUUACGGCGUGGCCGCGCCGCGCUCCAGUGCGAGUUGAUAACUACUGCGCAGGGGAGGCUGCGGCGGGACCGCCACUGUAUUUGGGGGGCCGGGAUCCCGUCUUAGGGGUUCCCGAUCCCCAACGCCGGACCCCCGGAGGGGU
rnacentral:misc_RNA from 1 species